rnacentral:lncRNA from 1 species
UUUUUUUUUUUUUUUAGAAAUUAGCCCACAGGCAAGUACAUAUAAGAAACUGUUCUCUAAAUGGUAAAAGUGGGACUGUAUUAGAGAACUAAUUUAAUAUAUUCAUAUACUACUGUUCUGAUUGGAUCACUUAGUGAAUUAGCAGCUAAACAGAACAUUUGCCUAUCUCUUUCUUCCUCUGCAGUGCUCAACCUUUAAAGAGUUCUGACAAACGUAAUCACUUCAUAAACACCUUGUCGAAGCAUGCAGGUUUGUGCCUUUGAGCAAAUGCUGCGAUACUAAUGGGUGGCUUUUCAAAGACAAAAUGUAAACGGACUAUUCUAUUUUCUCACAACUUGCCAAAAAGCAAGCAACGACAGCCUAACAUUUACAUAAGUGCAGAUGAGGUUAGAUUACUAUAAAUACAUAGGUGAGACAGUUGUCCUUUUAUAGGAUAAAUGUUUCUGUUUACCAGGCAGGCAUCAGUUGGACAAUGGUUAACAUAGUAAAUGUGUUAACAGAAAUAUCUUACUUGCUUUGGCUGUUGUAAAGAGAAUUUAAAUGGAGCCCAAUAGUUCCCAAAGCCAUCUUAUUUCAUUGAAGAACUGUUUAGAUAUGUAUUUCAUGAUACAUCCGUGAGUGCUUUCUUGUGUAUCUGAGCCUUAUGCGAGGUACUUCUUAGUUUACCCUUUCUGUACACACAGGACCACUGUGCCAGGAAGGGGCAGAGCUGAGUUAAAGGGCAUGUUCCUAAUCUAUCAUUCUUCAAGACAAAUGAAAUCUAAUACUUUUAAUAAUGUGAAAGAUAAUCAACUCCAUCAAUAUUGUGUUGUUGUUGGACGUUUAAAAAUUUAUGUUUUUUUUUUUUUCUAAGACUUCUAAUGUGUAUUUCUUUAACACACUGAGCAACUUUGGCUCUCUAAUGUUUCACCCAGUUUUUUAUUCUUUCCUAACAUGUAGAUUGUAUUCCUUUUUAGUAAUAAAGGUGAAAGUGGUUUGACCUGCUAUUAGCAUACAGAGCCUAUGAAUCACUUCAAGUCAUUUAUAUGAAUUUUAAAGACAUUCUGUUUUUCAUUAAUGUAAAUAUGCACUUAGGUAUAAAUGUAGUCUAUUUUUAGUAUUCUGUUCUAGAAAAUAUGAAUGUUUUAUGUUACAGGAGCAAAGACUUUGUGGUUUAAUUGCUUUGAACUUCACUUGGCACCACAUUAACACAACUAGGUGCUUAAUUUGUUCCAUAAUUAUAAUUAUAGGAGAUCAAAAUAAAAUAGAAUUACAAUUACCUCUUUAUGUAUAAAGUAAUGAUUUUAAGUUGUUAAUAUGUCAUUUAUAGUCGACAAAAAUAUGGCUAGAUUCCGCAUCUGUAAUGGCAAAAGAUACAGGAUAUCUAUAAAAAGACAUAGAGGUAAAAAGUUCAUUCCUUAUUUAAGGGAACGGUUUAUUUAAUUUAAUUUUUCUCUUUUAAAUAUUUUUUAAAGUUUCUUUUAAUUCCCAGAUUUUGUCUGGCUGUUUUGAAACUGUAUACUCUCUUAUUGAGAAGAAGAAAAUAACUUUGGGCAAUUCUUAAUAUUAAUUUAUCAAUGGUUUUAACUGUAAUAGGAUUCAAUUAAGAAUCAACUUGAUCUAAGCUUUAUCCUUUAAGUUGGAGUGAUUCAAUAUUAAGAUUUAAAUGAAACUAAUCAAAAACAAAAUUAUAUUUUUUAUAGAAAGACUGCUACUUAUUUUAAGAUUUUAGGGACUAUUUGCAAGCCUUUUGCAUGCAAAAACAAUAAACUUAUUAUUUGAAAAGCACAUCAGAAAAAACAUUCUAUUUUGACUUAUAUUUGGUUGACUAUCAUUUAUAUUUAUAUAAGCUAAAUCCCAUGCUCUCCCAGAAGUAAAUUUUAUUUUGACUUUAAUUCAAAUUUAAUGCCCCAUGUCUUCUAAUUAUGUUAUAACAAACAUAUAUCCAUGAUAUGAAUUAUUUGUGUAUUUCAUCGUUGGAAAACUAUUAUAUUUGAAUGAAUCCAUAAUUAUUGUAUUAUCUGAUUAGAAAUAUUUUAGCAUUAGCAGAAUUUAUUAGAUUAAGAAGAAUUUAGAAAGCUAUUCUGGAACAAUUUACUUGUUUUUAACAUCUGUUUAACAGCUGCUUAAUGAAAGUCAAUAGAGCACUAGCCAUCUUUUACACUGAUCCCUCAUGCACACACAAGCUCUAGGAAGGAUUAUCUACUAUUAAGUCUGGUUUUCUCUUUCCAAAGAGAUUUCCUCUAUAAAAGAAAAUAUUUUAGAAUUCUUAAGCACAUCAGCUAAAAUAUGUAGGACAUAAAAAUAGUGCUGUUUAACCAAAUAGUUCAACUUAAUAUACAUUACAAGGAAGAUACUACCUUUGGACGGGUGACAUAGCAAUUAUGAUAAACUCUGUUGUUAACUCAGUGAACGUACUUAAGGCCCAAAAGAUUAUGUCAAUAAUCUCUGGUUUAUUCAGCUGAAUGUCUACUGAAUUGACUAGUUGAUAAAACCUGAGAUCACCCUGUUAAGGUGUUUAAGAUUUUAGUUAAAUUAUAAAUUUAGUGAUGAAUAAUAUGUAAAAUAAUGUAAGUUUCAACAGUUCAAAUUAUUAUUUCUUUUGAAACUAUGUUUUUUUUAAAAAUAAAUUAUUCUUUUUUAUUUUGUAUAUUAAUAAAUUUGGAAUGGGUUCAGUUGAAAAUGUUUAAGGUCUUUUUCUCCUCAGUUUCCACUGAAAAACAUUUGUUUUUUUUUUUUUUCAAAUAAGUAACAAAUAACAGUUCCCUAGCAUGGAAUGGAAUAAAAAAAACUUAUAUAAAUAAGCAGUUUAAUUUACAGAGCAGCCAAAUUCACUCAAAGUGGCAUUCUUCCCAUUAAAAAAUGUAUUCCUACUAUUGAAAUUUGUAGGCAUUUUGUGUGACUGGAUAGUCAUCCAUAACAGAGAAGCUUGAAAACCCUGGGAGGUGGAACUGUAGUAGACGGUUUUAUUCUGUGCCAUCUGCAGUAAUAAAAAGGAAGAGGUCACAGAUCGUUUACUAAUUAUGCUUUUAUACUAAUUCCAUUUUGUAAGCGGUUCUGAGGGGAUCAGAGUGAGACAGCAGCAGUUUACGGAAGUUAAUGUAGGUCAGGAUGCAUCACAGUGGCAGCCCAUAAAGUACCUGUAGACAGUUUAUGAUAUGUGAUAAGUCCGCCAACAGAUCAUGAUUCUGCAUGCUUUCUUUCUGCCUAGCCUAAGAUUAUUGUGUAAAGAAACAUGAAUGUCUGCAUAGAGCACAUUACAGUCUAGCGGCUUCAGUUUUACCUGGUUGAAGCUGCAUGGUGGUUGAAUCAGUAAUAUAGCCAAUGUAAU